GAGUUUGAUUAUGGCUCAGAUUGAACGCUGGCGGCAGGCUUAACACAUGCAAGUCGAACGGUAGCAGGAAGAAAGCUUGCUUUCUUUGCUGACGAGUGGCGGACGGGUGAGUAAUGCUUGGGAAUCUGGCUUAUGGAGGGGGAUAACUGUGGGAAACUGCAGCUAAUACCGCGUAGUAUCGAGAGAUGAAAGGGUGGGACCUUCGGGCCACCUGCCAUAAGAUGAGCCCAAGUGGGAUUAGGUAGUUGGUGGGGUAAAGGCCUACCAAGCCGACGAUCUCUAGCUGGUCUGAGAGGAUGACCAGCCACACUGGGACUGAGACACGGCCCAGACUCCUACGGGAGGCAGCAGUGGGGAAUAUUGCGCAAUGGGGGGAACCCUGACGCAGCCAUGCCGCGUGAAUGAAGAAGGCCUUCGGGUUGUAAAGUUCUUUCGGUAAUGAGGAAGGGGUAUUAUUGAAUAGAUAAUACCAUGACGUA
rnacentral:rRNA from 1 species